rnacentral:tRNA from 1 species
AUUUAAGUAGUUUAAGUUAAAAUAUUAAUUUGUGGUAUUAAAGAUGCUUUUAAAAUAGCCUUAAAUU